AUGUGUGUAUGUCUGUAUGUAUGUGCAUUUUUGUGUGUUUUGUGCGUAUUUAUGUGUAUGUGUGCAUUUAUACGCACGUAUAUAAAUGCGUAUUGCGAAGGUUGAACAAGCAUCAGGGGCUGCUGCCCAGCCCAAACACGAAGACCGCCUAACGCCGACGGGAGAGGGGCGCGAGGGGCCUAGAGCCGCCGGUCCGCACGAGUGAACAAAACUGAGUGAGUACACGAAAUAUUUCUUGUGCGCAUUUGCGUGCAUGUGGGACUGUAUGUGGGUUGAGGAGGGGCGAAUAGACGCAUGGGGGAAUUUGGCUGUGGCGACAAAAAAUGCACCCUUUGUUCGUCAACGCAGCCUCACCGCCUUCCUCAGCUUGUGCAUUCCUAACAACUGGAUCACUAAUUUUUACCUACACUGCCAUGGUACGGCAUUGCACGGCAGUGUACGGCACAUCCUUUCACGCUUACCGUCAUAGGUCUUCAGGCCGCUGUUCCAUAUGAAAUCACAGUCCAGGUCGGUCGGCCAGGACUCAUCCGGAUCGUAGCGGGCAAUGCUCGUAGUCACCCAGCGAAUCUUGCCGGGGAAAUUGCAAGAUAGCCGGAACGGUGUUGCCUACAGAUACCCGGAUAUCCGUAUCGUCCAAAAACGAAUGAUACAAAACAGAGGAUCCAGGGAGGGUACGGCAUUGGUCAGGAGGAAUUAGAGCGACAGAAAGGUAGAGAUAUGUGGCACUUUUCACCCCAAGGACGCACAAACUAACAUUAAGCUGCCCUGGAGUAUUAGUUUGUAUUGCGCUUAGAAAAAGACAAGGUGCAAUCUAGUCGAGAAGAAGAAUCAAGUCCGGCAACCAUUUCUACUUCCGAACAACUCCGAAAAUGUGCUUCGAAUUGUGCAAAUUUAUCGCUCAACUCAAAAAGCUCACCUUCUUCUCGAGGCCCUCGAUAGUUAAAUCUGAGCCAAGUGCAAUUACGGGCCGGGAGUAGACAACCUACAGUUGAAAACACCCGACAGCAAAGAGAUGGCACCUGUAUAAAGCCCUUGCACAUGGAAUGAUAAAGUAACAGAAGUGCGGUUUCCAAGUUGACCCUUACUCGCACUUCUCAACUUUGCAGAGGUCAUGAAACAAGCUAUUAUGGUCCAAAAAGUGAGAAACGUUUCAAGCUUUAUCAUCAACACUAAACAGUUGAUCUGCGUUUCGCGAUCGGCCUUGACCCGUGUCGUCUUCCCUCACCGUAAUUUGCUGCUUGCCCCACAUGUAAGCCUUCCGGGACGUCAUCAAUUCCGCUGGUGAGGAAACUGUAAUAUUUAACGGCAAC
rnacentral:lncRNA from 1 species